ACGGGAGGCAGCAGUGGGGAGUAUUGGGCAAUGGGGGAAACCCUGACCUAGCAACGCCGCGUGGAGGAAGAAGGUCUUCGGAUCGUAAACUCCUGUCCUCAAAGACGAGAAGAAGACGGUAUUUGAGGAGGAAGCCCCGGCUAACUACGUGCCAGCAGCCGCGGUAAUACGUAGGGGGCAAGCGUUGUCCGGAAUGAUUGGGCGUAAAGGGCGCGUAGGCGGCCCGUUAAGUCUGGAGUGAAAGUCCUGCUUUUAAGGUGGGAAUUGCUUUGGAUACUGAUGGGCUUGAGUGCAGGAGAGGUUAGUGGAAUUCCCAGUGUAGCGGUGAAAUGCGUAGAGAUUGGGAGGAACACCAGUGGCGAAGGCGACUAACUGGACUGUAACUGACGCUGAGGCGCGAAAGUGUGGGGAGCAAACAGGAUUAGAUACCCUGGUA
rnacentral:rRNA from 1 species